GAUGAACGCUGGCGGCGUGCUUAACACAUGCAAGUCGAACGAAGCACUUUGAUUGAUUUCUUCGGAUUGAUUUCAAAGUGACUUAGUGGCGGACGGGUGAGUAACGCGUGGGUAACCUGCCUCGUACAGGGGGAUAACAGUUAGAAAUGACUGCUAAUACCGCAUAACCCGCUAGGGUCGCAUGACCUGGACGGAAAAGAUUUAUCGGUACGAGAUGGACCCGCGUCUGAUUAGCUAGUUGGUGAGGUAACGGCCCACCAAGGCGACGAUCAGUAGCCGGCCUGAGAGGGUGAACGGCCACAUUGGGACUGAGACACGGCCCAAACUCCUACGGGAGGCAGCAGGUGGGGAAUAUUGCACAAUGGGGGAAACCCUGAUGCAGCAACGCCGCGUGAGUGAAGAAGUAUUUCGGUAUGUAAAGCUCUAUCAGCAGGGAAGAAAAUGACGGUACCUGACUAAGAAGCCCCGGCUAACUACGUG
rnacentral:rRNA from 1 species